rnacentral:rRNA from 1 species
UACGUAGGGGGCGAGCGUUGUCCGGAAUCAUUGGGCGUAAAGCGCGUGUAGGCGGUCCGGUAAGUCCGCUGUGAAAGUCGGGGGCUCAGCCCGGGAAGUGCGCUCGAAACUGCGCGGCUCGAGUGCCGGAGGGGAGAGUGGAAUUCCCGGUGUAGCGGUGAAAUGCGUAGAGAUCGGGAGGAAUACCGGUGGCGAAAGCGACUCUCUGGACGGCAACUGACGCUGAGGCACGAAAGCGUGGGGAGCAAACAGG